rnacentral:rRNA from 1 species
AGUGAACGCUGGCGGUAGGCCUAACACAUGCAAGUCGAACGGCAGCACAGUAAGAGCUUGCUCUUACGGGUGGCGAGUGGCGGACGGGUGAGGAAUACAUCGGAAUCUACUUUUUCGUGGGGGAUAACGUAGGGAAACUUACGCUAAUACCGCAUACGACCUACGGGUGAAAGCAGGGGAUCUUCGGACCUUGCGCGAUUGAAUGAGCCGAUGUCGGAUUAGCUAGUUGGCGGGGUAAAGGCCCACCAAGGCGACGAUCCGUAGCUGGUCUGAGAGGAUGAUCAGCCACACUGGAACUGAGACACGGUCCAGACUCCUACGGGAGGCAGGAGUGGGGAAUAUUGGACAAUGGGCGCAAGCCUGAUCCAGCCAUACCGCGUGGGUGAAGAAGGCCUUCGGGUUGGAAAGCCCUUUUGUUGGGAAAGAAAAGCAGCAGGUUAAUACCCCGCUGUUCUGACGGUACCCAAAGAAUAAGCACCGGCUAACUUCGUG